UGUGAGAUUGUUAUUCUCUAAGUUUCUGGAAAGAGAAAAAAAAUGGUUUAAUUUCUAUUUUAAGGUUAAUUUGUGCUCCACUUCUUUCUUCUAGAUUUACUUGCAGGAUUUUGAGGUGUUCCAACUUGGACAGAAAUUCAGGUAGACUGAUUAUGUACGGAGAUAUCUCACCCUUCAAUUCGCUUGAAGACAAGUUCCUGCUUCUCAAGUUCAGCAAAGUGCAAAUAUGCAUAAAAUCUAUCACUUGCAUUUCUCGAGUCCCAUGAGAAAUUAAGGUCCUUGGUCCCAUUCUUUGAAGUUGCAGCAGUUUUCAUGACGAUCUCUGGUGUAUACUCAUAGUUAGCAGUAGCUACAGAAUCCAUGGAAAAUCAACUCUUCAUAUAGCAUGCAUGAGCCAACCUGUAAUUUGUGAUUGACCCCAUAUCGUACCGAUGAUGAAGGCGCAAGGAAUUUGAUAGAGAAUAGUAUGUGUGUGCACCAUUUCUGUGUAGUAGUAGCUAUCAUCUACUGUUGUCCAUCGAGUAUUGCCCAAAUACAGGUCAAAUUGUGGAGUUUUAUUGAGCCCAUCGUAAUUACCGUAUAAAAAAA